GACGAACGCUGGCGGCGUGCCUAAUACAUGCAAGUCGAACGGAAAGGCCCUGCUUUUGUGGGGUGCUCGAGUGGCGAACGGGUGAGUAACACGUGAGUAACCUGUCCUUGUCUUUGGGAUAACUUCAGGAAAAUGGGGCUAAUAUCGGAUAGGAUCUCCUGAUGCACGGUGGGCGUUGGAAAGUUUCGGCGGUUGGGGAUGGACUCGCGGCUUAUCAGCUUGUUGGUGGGGUAGUGGCUUACCAAGGCUUUGACGGGUAGCCGGCCUGAGAGGGUGACCGGCCACAUUGGGACUGAGAUACGGCCCAGACUCCUACGGGAGGCAGCAGUGGGGAAUAUUGCACAAUGGGCGGAAGCCUGAUGCAGCAACGCCGCGUGCGGGAUGACGGCCUUCGGGUUGUAAACCGCUUUCGCCUGUGACGAAGCGUGAGUGACGGUAAUUGGUAAAGAAGCACCGGCUAACUACGUG
rnacentral:rRNA from 1 species